CCUGGAGGCCUGAGAGAGCAGAUCUGGGGGCACCUCCACCAUGGCCUGGACCCCUCUCCUCCUCACCCUCCUGGCUCACUGCACAGGCUCUGUGGCCUCCUAUGAUCUGACCCAGCCACGCUCAGUGUCAGUGGCCCUGGGACAGACAGCCAGGCUCACCUGCUCUGGAGGUCAAUUAGAGAAGAGAUAUGCUGCCUGGUACCAGCAGAAGCCAGAUCAGGCCCCUAAGCUGGUCAUCUAUAAGGAUAGUGAACGGCCAUCGGGGAUCCCUGACCGAUUCUCUGGCUCCAGCUCUGGAAACACAGCCACCCUGACCAUCAGCAGGGUCCAGAAUGAGGAUGAGGCUGACUAUUACUGUCUGUCAUCAGAGAGUGACAGCAGUGCUUCUCACAGUGACACAGGCAGAUGGGGAAGAGCUGCCCCCAAGCCCCACAUGCAGACUCAGCCUCCCCAGAACCCUGGGCUGGGCCUGGCCCUGAGCUCACCUAUGCACUUCUACACAGUGCCCUUGGCCUUGGGAGACCCCUGCCCUGUCAGCUGCAGCUUCACACUGGCCUUCUCUGCAGAAGCCAGGCCAGACCCUGUGCAAGUCAUUUCUAGAGAUACAACCUUGGUCUCAGGGAUCCCAUCUGGGAAAAUGACCAAGGCUGUGGGGUUUUAA